rnacentral:rRNA from 2 species
UUAAAUUGAAGAGUUUGAUCAUGGCUCAGAUUGAACGCUGGCGGCAGGCCUAACACAUGCAAGUCGAACGGUAACAGGAAACAGCUUGCUGUUUC